rnacentral:rRNA from 1 species
AUUGAACGCUGGCGGCAUGCUUUACACAUGCAAGUCGAACGGCAGCGCGGGCUUCGGCCUGGCGGCGAGUGGCGAACGGGGGAGUAAUGCAUUGGAACAUGCCCAGUAGUGGGGGAUAGCCCGGCGAAAGCCGGAUUAAUACCGCAUACGACCUGAGGUGGAAAGCGGGGGACCGAAAGGCCUCGCGCUAUUGGAGCGGCCGAUGUCGGAUUAGCUAGUUGGUGGGGUAAAGGCUUACCAAGGCGACGAUCCGUAGCUGGUCUGAGAGGACGACCAGCCACACUGGGACUGAGACACGGCCCAGACUCCUACGGGAGGCAGCAGUGGGGAAUUUUGGACAAUGGGGGCAACCCUGAUCCAGCCAUGCCGCGUGCGGGAAGAAGGCCUUCGGGUUGUAAACCGCUUUUGUUCGGGAAGAAAUCCUCUGGGCUAAUACCCCGGGGGGAUGACGGUACCGGAAGAAUAAGCACCGGCUAACUACGU